GUUUAAACAGUUGAACACGUGUAACAGGAAUGUCUUACGUGCAUAAUUCUGGGUCCACUUUUAUUCAGUCGGGAUUUUAUUUCUCUUUUCAGAAAUUACGUAAAUUGAUACAGUCCGCGUGUAUAACGAUAUACCAGAAGAGGGGGUUAUGUGGAACGCUUUAGAGAUGUUGCAGCACACUUCAGAGUCCGGAAGAAAUAUUUUUACGGGGGAGACAAAAUUCCAUGAUAUGGAGACCAGGCAGUUUGAGCAUGGGUGACGCCAUUACUGUAUAUAAUCGAUACGAAGCAAGUAUGAAUGACGCGCUUUGAUAGGGUGGCAAGGAAAGCCAAGCCACUGAGCGUUUAUGAAAUCGGACUAAAUCUGCCAUGGAGGAGAUGGCAGUACGCAAUUUACACCUGGCAUGCGGAGAUGAUUACAAAUAUACACCCGUUUUCUGUAAACUGUUCGGUACAUUUUCCCUGUAUGAUCUAUUUACCUGUAGCUCUAAACCCCUGACACAGGGGUAAUGACUUUAACAAUAGCAAUUAAGAGCUUCUGUUUUUCAUUUUAAUCUUAACUAUGCAACCACAUUGUCUGCUAAAUUUUCGGCUAUGAAAGGUAUUUACAAAAAUAUGCAUAUUAUCACUAUAUGAUGUUUUGUGUCCUCCCUAGGGCAUGAACAUCACAGAUUUCACAAAAUUGAUAGAGACGUCCGUGCAUUAUGUAAAUGUCUGCUAAGUGUUCUGGUGUAGAGAUGGUAAUUUUAAAGUUACUUUUUCAGAGUUUGCCCUAUCUUAAUACUCGGGAACAUCAAUUUUGCAUAGCAAAUGAACCGCUACCUAUGUUAAAUACCCUAGGUUUAUCACGGCGCUGGGACCGAGAAUCAAACCCAGAACCUCCAGGUUCCGAAGUCACCAGAUGUUAUAAAUAUCGGUUAAAAAUACGUGAUGUAGUCAUCAAGCCUGUGUGUAAGUGAUUACCAUAUGUUGCAAACAUGUUAAAAUGCACAGUAUCAUCAUUUCUAUCUAAAUAUAUACCCUACCCUCACCGUAAUGGGAAUAUUUCAGGGGAAAUUGAUGGUGAAAGAUAUAUUAUGCUUCUUGACAGUUAUGUGUGACACAAUAACCAUUUUCCUCUCUCAUUUCCUUUGCUUGAACUUUGAACCCGGAAUUGAUAUAGAUCUACAUGUAUAGGUCAUCUCUAGUGGGUAAUUGUCGUGUGAAAUUUCCCGAUUUCAAGUGGAUAGGGAAACGACUGCAGUAAGCUCUAAAACCUCUUUUAUAUCAGUCCGCUUUCCUUGACCUUUGACACUAAAAUUGAUGGAGAUCAUUUUUCUCUUUGUGAAGUGAGGUGACUUCGGUUGGAAAGCAAAAUCACGGAAAGCUCGAAAACCGCUUUCCAGCAUCAGAGUCAUAUACGCUUGAUAUUUGUAUCCCAAAAUCAAUAGGGAUCAAACACAUUCCGUGUCUUGUCCAUGGAUGAAUUACAGUGACUCUAGGUGAAAGGAAAAAUCACUUUUGGCCCGGAAACCGUUUUUCUAUAUCCGAGUACAGUUCUCUUGAUAUUUUGACCCGAAAUCAAUAAGCAUCAUCAUCAUUCCAUGGUUAGUCAUUUCAGGUGAAAAGAAAAAUAUAGUUGAGAGUCGUUUACCUACAUGUAUGCAAAUGUCCCAUUUUAAUGACCUAAGACCCCCAAAUGGAUUGGGAUAGUCCCUUGGGGAAUCUGUGUGUGAAGAAUAGAAAUACAAGAUGUGUACAGAGACGGAUGACCUGAUUUCAGUGUAACCUCGCAAACUUUCUUUGUAAAUAAUGUCAUUCUCAAGCCUGUACACAAUUAGGGUACUCUUUUUGUCAUUUCGUUUUUCGUCAUUUCAGAGAGAAAUUGUGAUUAAAAAGAUUCUCGAAUAAGGCGUAAAUCAACGAACACAUUAUUCUAAAACAAAUUAAAUAUGAAAAGACACCAAGCAGUGGCAAUACAGUAAAUUAGCACCUCGUUAGCAGGAAGGUUGUAACAGUCUUGAUGGCCGAUUUUCUUUUGUACUUAAAGCAGAGAGAAGGAAAUUACCUAGUGUUCACAGACACGGUUAAAUAAUCCCGAAUUUAAAAACGUACAAUUCUUUCUAUAUAUUAAGGCAUCUUUUGAAAUGUUUUUAGUUUUUUUGGUCUUUAAUAUAUGCUAAAAUAUAUACGCAAAUGGUCUGAUAUUCGGUAUUCUAAAAGUACAAAGCUACAUGUUUAUACUGUAGUACGCGAUUCCCCCGACUCGAAGAGGGAUCGAUUGUUACAAGCAGUAUAGAGAGAAGCACGGAAUAUUCCACAACAUUGCUUGACAAAGCGUGAAUUCAUUUCAAGUGGAACAUUCAGUAUCACUUAGAAGAAAAACGCCUUAUAUCAUUAACAAUUUUCUACUGAAUGAAAUAUUCCCUUUACAAAAUGGAUACUCACAGUAUUCUAUCGACGAAGUAGGUCCUCAUUGACAGAUGAUAACCGUCGGUAGCCGCCAGUUGUGCGACUAUUGAUCGGCCAUGAAAAUUGUAGUCUGCCAAGAAAUAUUCCCUUACUGGCAAUUUGGACACCCGAGCACCUGUAAUAGAGGAGUCAGACCGGGGUUUAAUCAAUGGCUCAGUCACUCUUGAAGGACUUUUAACUGAAAAUGAAAGAACUAAAUAAAUACUAUAAAUAUAUUGAAAAUCCGUGAAUUACUACAAUUGACAGUUAUAAAUUUUAUCAAAAUUGUUCAAUUUAUGGUUCUCGUACAGGGUUUAAGCCUCUGGGAGGAGCAACAUAUAGGGUAUAUAGAAAAGAUGCAUGAAAAUAUUUUAAAUUCCUACACCUCAGAACAUAUUACAGUGUAUAUUUAUAUUGAAGUUGAAGGUGUCUACUGAAACUCAUGACCCCCUACUCGUGCUCUGGCCACAGGGUGGGGUUAAAUUGGCCAUCUACUUCAAAAUGUAUUCCAUCGAUCCAAAACAAAUCUAUCUGGGAACAAGCAAACUGGGUACAUGGUUUGGGUGCUUCUACCGAAAUUGAAAUGAAUGACAUUUUCGAAAUAGUCUUUACUCCUGACCAGAUAGCAGACAUACUCGGUGCAAAGUUUGUGUGAGCUCUAGACGUUUCUAACGAAGAAAUUCUUGAUCCAUGGGUCAGAUGAUAUGUUCUAACACAAGGACGAGACUACAUGUAGGUAUACAAUAUAACGAAGGUGUAUCCACAUCACUCAAAUCUCCAAAUCUAUUGUUGGGGAAAGCUAUGUGCAUCGUUUCAAUAAGCUUGAAGGCUUCUAAGAUUUUGAAACUUCUGGCCCCAAGACUAUAAACUGAGAAUAGACUAAGUCAAAAUUGAUUAGUUAUACCUUAGGAUUUAUGUAGCACAGGGGUUUAAAAAAAACCACUGCAGGUUGAUAAAAAAAAAUUCAAAUGCAAACAUAUGCUGAAAAUUUUAUUUGUAUAUGAAAAUUAUUUCAAAAGUUAGCUGGAUUUGAAAUUUAGACUUAAGUCUAUUCUCAGUUUAUGGUCUCGAGGCCUGCUCUUAGGUUGGUUGGUUGUAUAUUGUUUAACGUACGGUCCUGCUCGAGAAUUUUUCACUCAUAUGAACACUGUCAUGAUCGUGUGCAGGAUUGGACAAAACAAGAUGGCAGACGGCAUUUCCAAACAAAGGUAUCAAGCCCUAGAACUUCAUUCCAUGAGAUGGGUACACUUCGAAUGUGCAAAUUUGUGGUGAGGAAUUCAAGACCAAUUCUGAAUUGCGUAGGCAUGUAUAAAGGAAACAUCAGUCAGAAAAAUUGUCUUCGUUUGUGACCAGUGCAACACACGCUUUUGCCCAUUAUAAAAGAAACUCGAAGUAAAAAAUACAUUGUUUUCUGAAUACACGAGGUGUAUACAUACAUGUAUACCAUGGCAGCCGUUUUAUAUAUUCGUUUAUGUACAUUGUGAAACGAUUAUUUUUACGGUAUUAUGCUUUGUUUUACAGAGAUACUACUAAUCUUUUACAUUGCAUUUUACACAUGUUGAUUUGUCAUUUCAUUGAACCUAAGUUUUACGUGUUAUUAAAUAUAUUUCAAUGUUA